rnacentral:rRNA from 1 species
GUUAAAAAGCUCGUAGUUGGAUUUCUGUUGAGGUUGGGUGGUCCCUUCUCCGAAGGCGUAUUUGCUUCGAUCUCGGCAUCCUUCUGAAAGACUGUGCUGCCCUUCAUUGAGUGGUCAGGAUUUCAGGACUUUUACUUUGAGGAAAUUAGAGUGUUUACGGCAGGCAGGCGCCUUGAAUAUAUUAGCAUGGAAUAAUGAUAUAAGACCUUGGUUUUAUUUUGUUGGUUUCUAAAGCUAAGGUAAUGAUUAACAGGGAUAUUUGGGGGUAUUUGUAUUACACGGUCAGAGGUGGAAUUCUUGGAUUCGUGUACGACAAACUACUGCGAAAGCAUUUACCAAGGAUGUUUUCAUUGAUCAAGAACGAAAGUGUGGGGAUCGAAGAUGAUUAGAUACCGUCGUAGUCUACACCAUAAACUAUGCCGACUAGAGAUUGGAGGUUGUCUUCUUAUAACUCCUUCAGCACCUUUCGAGAAAUCAAAGUUUUUGGGUUCCGGGGGGAGUAUGGUCGCAAGGCUGGAACUUAAAGGAAUUGACGGAAGGGCACCACCAGGAGUGGAGCCUGCGGCUUAAUUUGACUCAACACGGGAAAACUUACCAGGUCCAGACAUAACGAGGAUUGACAGAUUGAUAGCUCUUUCUUGAUUUUAUGGGUGGUGGUGCAUGGCCGUUCUUAGUUGGUGGAGUGAUUUGUCUGGUUAAUUCCGUUAACGAA